rnacentral:lncRNA from 1 species
GAGAGGGGGUGGCACAAGGCAGUGAGAUCACACUAGCAGCUGGGACUCAGGGUGGGAAGAUGCCUGGGAAGUCAGAAGGCAGUUAAGACCUCCACAACCUACACAUUUGCAGACACUAGUUUAAGCUACUGACUCCUUUAGUCUUGAACUCUCCUAAAGGUGGGGGAUCUUAACUGCAUUUGCAAUUACCAGAAAAGGUAAAUAAAUGGUAAACCGCUGAAUCCACUGGCAAUCCAAAUUGCGAGAUUUAAAGCUGGGCUGGGAAUUUGAGAAAAAUAGAGUUGGUAAAUUAGCUACUUGGUACAACUUCUACAGAUGUUUUUUUGUGAGCUCUGAGUUUCUGGAAAAGCUAAAGUUCCCUGCAGUCUCCACCUACUUCCAAAGCAGUCACCAUGGCUCGCUGUCAGCCAAGUUUCCUGCCAACAGUCCCUGUGUGGGGGAAGGAAAGAAUCAAAGAAGGACAACUGGACAAAGUAAUCUACAGACAGCUUACAACAGUGCUGCACACGAUUAAUCUGACUUCACAGUGAGACGCUGAGAAAGGUGAAGUAAGUGGACUGAGAGCCACAGCUCCCAAGGGCAGUGCUUGGAUAGGAACUCAGAUCUUUACCUUCAAAGAAGAUCUUUGCUUCCUCUUCGCCUUCUGCCAUGAUUGUG